GCUCCGUUAACUCAGUGGCCAGAGUGCCGGCCUGUCUAGCCGGAGGCCGCGGGUUCGACUCCCGCACGGGGCGCCA
rnacentral:tRNA from 1 species